CACGCCGUAAACGAUGUUCACUAGGUGUUGGGGGUAUUGACCCCCUCAGUGCCGCAGUUAACGCAUUAAGUGAACCGCCUGGGGAGUACGGUCGCAAGACUAAAACUCAAAGGAAUUGACGGGGGCCCGCACAAGCGGUGGAGUAUGUGGUUUAAUUCGAUGCAACGCGAAGAACCUUACCUGGGCUUGACAUCCCGGGAACCCUCUGGAAACAGAGGGGUGCCCUUCGGGGAACCCGGAGACAGGUGC
rnacentral:rRNA from 1 species